rnacentral:rRNA from 1 species
GCGGCCUAUCAGCUUGUUGGUGAGGUAAUGGCUUACCAAGGCGACGACGGGUAGCCGGCCUGAGAGGGCGACCGGCCACACUGGGACUGAGACACGGCCCAGACUCCUACGGGAGGCAGCAGUGGGGAAUAUUGGGCAAUGGAGGAAACUCUGACCCAGCGACGCCGCGUGCGGGAUGAAGGCCUUCGGGUUGUAAACCGCUUUCAGCAGGAAGGAAGCGAAAGUGACGGUACCUGCAGAAGAAGCACCGGCUAACUAUGUGCCAGCAGCCGCGGUAAUACAUAGGGUGCAAGCGUUGUCCGGAAUUAUUGGGCGUAAAGAGCUCGUAGGUGGUUCGUCACGUCGGAUGUGAAAAUCUGGGGCUCAACCCCAGACCUGCAUUCGAUACGGGCGAGCUAGAGUUUGGUAGGGGAGACUGGAAUUCCU